UACGAAGGGGGCUAGCGUUGCUCGGAAUCACUGGGCGUAAAGCGCACGUAGGCGGAUUGUUAAGUCAGGGGUGAAAUCCAGGAGCUCAACUCCAGAACUGCCUUUGAUACUGGCGAUCUUGAGUCCGGGAGAGGUGAGUGGAACUCCGAGUGUAGAGGUGAAAUUCGUAGAUAUUCGGAAGAACACCAGUGGCGAAGGCGGCUCACUGGCCCGGUACUGACGCUGAUGUGCGAAAGCGUGGGGAGCAAACAGG
rnacentral:rRNA from 1 species